rnacentral:lncRNA from 1 species
UUAGAAGUCUUGGGCAAAUCCACAGGGCAAACAGAGCGCUAAACAUACACAGCAAACACGUCUACGUACUCCCUCAAAAAAAAAACACGCAUGACACAGUACACCAAUCUUAAAGAGUGCAUUUACAGUACAAAUAGAAAUGGGCCAAACUGAUGAGCAAAAAUAAAUGUUUAUUUUCACUAAAGAAUUGAGUAACCGCUUUCAUGGUCGUAUAUGUUACAAAGGAUAUAAAUAUGAAACUACCAAACCCCCAUUUGGAUCCUUGCACCAACCACAACCAACACAAGGGGAAGCCGAUCAAAAUUAGUAGACAAAAAUGAGCAGUACAUUAUUUCUUUUACAUUGACAAACACUGCAUGGUUGAAUCAGCUCAGUCGACGAGAAGUCAGCGUGGACGAUGCGGUCGGAUGGACAGGACUGGACUACGGAAGGGGACCGGGCAAAGGAUGCACAAUGGACCGGGCAAAGGAUGCUGCACAAUCUUCACAGGUGCGCCUAAGCACUUACGGAUGAAGAUCAUAUAUGCUUAUUCGCCUUGCAAACAGUAAAGCUGGCGGAUAUUUCCUGAAGCUGGACACAAGAUUUAAAACACCUAAUUGUUAACUCCAACAGGUCAUUUCAAGAGCAAAGGAAACGAUUUUUGCAGUGAAAAGAAGUCUGAUGGUGGAAACUGGAAACAUAAGGACCAGGUAUAUAGUUCAGUUUGCUACUUCGGUAACAAAUACAAAUUCAUUUGGUUAAGUUUACCGAUUUUUUACUCAAAUGAAAGAAAGCACCAAGAAGCACACUCGCAUCACUGUAUUAAAUAUUGUAAGUAUUACUGCAGGAAUGAAGAACAAAGCAACCAAGACGUGUUUGCUGUGUCAUUGUCAUUAGUGCACUGUCAUUAGUGCUGUCAAGCCUGUCAAGUCUCCCAAAUUACAAACUUGACUAAUCCUGAAUCCUAAACAGGGAUCUAGAACCAUUUAGAUUUGUUUUAUUUUAGCAGUGAGGGCAUCAGUUGUUCUUUAGAAAGUAGUUAUUGGGUCAGGUGAAUAUUAAGAGAAAUAUAAAGAUGACUACGUUAUGUGCAGCUCCAAAUACAUAUGUAAAAUAUCAUGGUAAUAACUCCAGAAAAGGCAUUUGCCAGAUGUUGCUUGAAGUCAUAAUUAGCCACCACCGUAAUGCACAAUGUAAGAUCAUUUUUCCAUGAUCACUAACUAACUAGAAUCGAUAUUGCACGAAAAUCAAGUUCUCACGGAUUACCACGAGAUAGCCAAUUACAGUAUCAUGGACUAAUGGAAAAAGU